rnacentral:rRNA from 1 species
UACGUAGGUGGCAAGCGUUAUCCGGAUUUAUUGGGUGUAAAGGGCGUGUAGGCGGGAAUGCAAGUCAGAUGUGAAAACUCAGGGCUCAACCCUGAGCCUGCAUUUGAAACUGUAUUUCUUGAGUGCUGGAGAGGCAAUCGGAAUUCCGUGUGUAGCGGUGAAAUGCGUAGAUAUAUGGAGGAACACCAGUGGCGAAGGCGGCUUACUGGACUGUAACUGACACUGAGGCUCGAAAGCGUGGGGAGCAAACAGG